UACGAAGGGUGCAAGCGUUACUCGGAAUUACUGGGCGUAAAGCGUGCGUAGGUGGUCUGUUAAGUCUGAUGUGAAAGCCCUGGGCUCAACCUGGGAAUUGCAUUGGAUACUGGCAGGCUAGAGUGCGGUAGAGGGUAGUGGAAUUCCCGGCGUAGCCAGUGAAAUGCGUAGAGAUCGGGAGGAACACCAGUGGCGAAGGCGACUACCUGGACCAGCACUGACACUGAGGCACGAAAGCGUGGGGAGCAAGCAGG
rnacentral:rRNA from 1 species